rnacentral:rRNA from 1 species
CAAGUCAAGCGGAGUAGCAAUACUCAGCGGCGAACGGGUGAGUAACACGUGGGUAAUCUUCCUCCGAGUCUGGGAUAACUUUCCGAAAGGGAAGCUAAUACUGGAUAGUCCCGAGAGAUCAUAAGAUUUUUCGGGUAAAGAUUCAUUGCUCGGAGAUGAGCCCGCGUCCGAUUAGCUAGUUGGUAAGGUAAAGGCUUACCAAGGCGACGAUCGGUAGCCGGCCUGAGAGGGUGUUCGGCCACAAUGGAACUGAGACACGGUCCAUACUCCUACGGGAGGCAGCAGUUAAGA